AUGAUGAGAUUACUUCAGCAACACUUGGAGCGCGUCAGAACUCGAAUGAAACACCAGGCAGAUAAGAAACGUUCUGACAGAGUAUUUGCUGUGGGUGAUUAUGUUUUUCUCAAGUUGCAGCCAUACAUUCAGUCCUCUGUGGCCCCACGUGCUCAUCAGAAAUUGUUGUUCAAAUACUAUGGCCCUUAUCAAGUGCUGGAACGAGUAGGUGCAUCAGCCUAUCGUCUUGCGCUUCCACCGGCAAGCAAGAUCCACCCAGUUCUGCACGUAUCUCAACUGAAGUUAGCGCUGGGACCUAAUUGUCAGGUACAAUCUGAAUUGCCUCCUCCUGAUGCUCAGUUUGCUGUGCCUAUGAGAGUUCUGCAGCGCCGGUUGCGCCGCCGGGGUGAUGCUGCUGUGCCACAAGGCUUGAUACAAUGGUCUGAUCAACCGGAUUCUUUGGCGACAUGGGAAGAUUUAGAAGAACUCAAGCAGCGUUUUCCGCGGGCGCCAGCUUGGGGACAAGCUGGACUUCAAGGAAAGGGGAGUGUUAACACUGGGCCUAGUACCACUACCGACGAGACCGGUGUACGCUUCAUCACCAAGGAGGGCCGGCCCAGCAAGAGAGCCCAUCAUCCUUCCACUCGCUACGCGGACGGCAACUGGGUGUAA
rnacentral:rRNA from 1 species